rnacentral:rRNA from 1 species
CCUACGGGUGGCAGCAGUGGGGGAUAUUGCACAAUGGGGGAAACCCUGAUGCAGCGACGCCGCGUGAGUGAAGACGGAUUUCGGGAUGUAAAGCUCUAUCAGCAGGGAAGAAAAUGACAGUACCUGACCAAGAAGCCACGGCUAACUACGUGCCAGCAGCCGCGGUAAUACGUAGGGGGCCAGCGUUAUCCGGAUUUACUGGGCGUAAAGGGAGCGUAGACGGAUAUGUAAGUCUGGAGUGAAAGCCCGGGGCUCAACCCCGGGACUGCUUUUGAAACUGUGUAACUAGAGUGCAGGAGAGGCAGGCGGAAUUCCUGGUGUAGCGGUGAAAUGCGUAGAUAUCAGGAAGAACACCGGCGGCGAAGGCGGCCUUCUGGACUGAAACUGACGUUGAGGCUCGAAAGCGUGGGGAGCAAACAGGAUUAGAUACCCUUGUAGUC